rnacentral:rRNA from 1 species
GAUGAACGCUGGCGGCGUGCCUAAUACAUGCAAGUCGAGCGAACAGACGAGGAGCUUGCUCCUCUGACGUUAGCGGCGGACGGGUGAGUAACACGUGGAUAACCUACCUAUAAGACUGGGAUAACUUCGGGAAACCGGAGCUAAUACCGGAUAAUAUAUUGAACCGCAUGGUUCAAUAGUGAAAGACGGUUUUGCUGUCACUUAUAGAUGGAUCCGUGCCGCAUUAGCUAGUUGGUACGGUAACGGCUUACCAAGGCGACGAUGCGUAGCCGACCUGAGAGGAUGAUCGGCCACACUGGAACUGAGACACGGUCCAGACUCCUACGGGAGGCAGCAGUAGGGAAUCUUCCGCAAUGGGCGAAAGCCUGACGGAGCAACGCCGCGUGAGUGAUGAAGGUCUUCGGAUCGUAAAACUCUGUUAUUAGGGAAGAACAAGUGUGUGAUUAACUAUGCACGUCUUGACGGUACCUAAUCAGAAAGCCACGGCUAACUACGUG